rnacentral:lncRNA from 1 species
CAGGUCCAAGAACCAGAGGCGGAAGACAACCUUAGUUGUAGUUUCUUUUUCCUUUCCAUAUUGUAUUUCAUUUCCUUAAAACAUUGGGGACAAUGUUUAAUUUAAGUAUGGGGGGGAAAACUUGUUCUUCCUAUUUCCAUUGUUCAAGUAUGUACUUUUCCUUUUAAUGUUAUUUCCCGAAAAAAAAAAAAAAAAAAAAAAAA